UCUUCCCCUCUCUUUUGCCUUCCUUCAGCACCAAGGAGAGUGGUCCAGCAGCAGCUCAGUCCAUGCUUGUCAAGAGCCCACCUCCAUACAUUGCAGCUUUGGUCCACAUUUCCCAAGCCUCCUUGUGGGAUUCCUCAGCAUCACCAGUGCACUGACUGUCUCUUUGUGUUCUCCUAGCUCCUGUUCAAGACCCAAAGGGGUGCACAAGUCAAAAGCUUCAGGAGGAGAUGUCACCUGACUUAGAAAACGCUACAAGUGAAUAUCACCACACUCCUGUUGACAACCCAGAGGAGUGUACACUUGGCAGUGAGGAGGAGGAGGUGGCCUCUGAUACGGUAACAUAUUUGUUUGUCUGGAAAUUUUUUUUUUCUGGGGCUUCUAGACUAUGAAGUGAAUAUGAUUUUUGACUGCCAUCACAAAUUAGGCCUCGGGGGUCUUGGACUCUAGCG
rnacentral:lncRNA from 13 species